CACUGUUGAUGUUUUGAUUGUUUUUCCACUAUUUUUUAUCUUGGAAAUCAGAUAUUACUGUUCUCUUGAUAUGAGAAAUAGUGUGAGUUACCCUUAUGUGUACACAUUAUAAAUUUACGAAUAUCAUAUCCAAUGCUAUUUGUUAUCAACAUGUAGUGUCAUUUUCUAUCUAUUUGAGAAUAAAUAACAAUGUCCUGCAAUAUAUUGAGGAGUAGCAUAUUUCAGACAGGCACUCCAUUAUAUGAUGUCAAUUUUGUUUAUGUGUGGGUUUGCAGAACAGGUUCAUCACGGUCACGCCAGAAACUGAAGUUCUGAAAGCGAAGCAACUGAUGAUAGGUGUUAGAUUACAUUGAAGAUAGCGGUCUUGAGGAGACUGCAUAAGGAACUUCAAGAGCUUAGGGUGUUUCCUUCUGGUCCAUUUGCUCCAGGACAAAUGUAUCCUUGACAGAGCAAGAGCUACAGCUGCCCUAAGCUUCAGUCAGUUUUAUACUUCUGCUGCCAAAUGACAAAUGACGCCUUGGUUACUAUUGCUAGGAACCAUUCUAAUAUCAUCCAAUUUUGUUUGUGUAUUAUCAAACCUCAAAAUCCUGUAACCCUUGAACCACUUGAUGCUGAUUUUGGGGCCAUUAUUCAACACUGCAAGGAAUUGUGGCAACUCUCUCUUUCUGACCUCCUUACAGACCGUGUGUUUGAGUACAUCAGGGUCCAUGCUAAGAAGUUAGAGAUGCUUUCUUUAGCUUUUCCGGGGGAUAACCAUCUAGACCUCCACUACAUACUCUCUGGUGUGAGAGCCUCCGCAAGUUGGAGAUUAGAGACUGCCCCUUAGGCGAUGAGGCUCUGUUGUCCAAUGCUGCAAAGCUGGAGACAGUGCGAUCCCUUUGGAUGCCUGAUUGUUCAGUAAGUUUUGAAGCAUGUAAGCUGCUAGCUAGCUCAGAAGUUGCCAGGGCUCAGAAUUGAGCAUGGCCAUUGUCACAACCACAACCAGUGGUAGAGCCACAUAUACUUGAGGGAUGUCAAUUAACACUCCUUCGUCUGAAUAUUACAAUUGUAUAGCUUGGUAAAAAUAUUUCUUUUAUGUAUAAAUAUGCCAACACCUCUUGACUUCUACACAAUUUUACUUUUUAUA